AAUACGUUCCCGGGCCUUGUACACACCGCCCGUCACACCAUGGGAGUUGGUUUUACCCGAAGGCGCUGUGCUAACCGCAAGGAGGCAGGCGACCACGGUAGGGUCAGCGACUGGGGUGAAGUCGUAACAAGGUAGCCGUAGGGGAACCUGCGGCUGGAUCACCUCCUUUCUAAGG
rnacentral:rRNA from 1 species